rnacentral:rRNA from 1 species
CCUACGGGAGACAGCAGUGAGGAAUAUUGGUCAAUGGGCGAGAGCCUGAACCAGCCAAGUCGCGUGAAGGAUGACGGCCCUACGGGUUGUAAGCUUCUUUUGUCAGGGAGCAAUUGGGUCCACGCGUGGGCGUAGCGAGAGUACCCGACGUAACAGCAUCGCCUAACUCCGUUCCAGCAGCCGCGGUAAUACGGGGGAUUUGAGCGGUAUCCGGCUUUAUGGGGUUUAAAGGGUGCGUAGUCGGGAGAUCAAGGCAGCGGUAAAAAUUCGGGGCUAAAUCCCGUCGUGCCGUUGAAACUGCUGUGCUUGAGUGGGCGAGAGGUAGGCGGAAUGCGUGGUGUAGCGGUGAAAUGCGUAGAUAUCACGAAGAACUCCGAUUGCGAAGGCAGCAUACCGGCGGCCAACUGACGCUGAAGCACGAAAGCGUGGGUAGCGAACAGGAUUAGAUACCCUUGUAGUC